rnacentral:rRNA from 1 species
GAUGAACGCUGGCGGCGUGCCUAAUACAUGCAAGUCGAGCGAACAGAUAAGGAGCUUGCUCCUUUGACGUUAGCGGCGGACGGGUGAGUAACACGUGGGUAACCUACCUAUAAGACUGGGAUAACUUCGGGAAACCGGAGCUAAUACCGGAUAACAUUUGGAACCGCAUGGUUCUAAAGUGAAAGAUGGUUUUGCUAUCACUUAUAGAUGGACCCGCGCCGUAUUAGCUAGUUGGUAAGGGAACGGCUUACCAAGGCAACGAUACGUAGCCGACCUGAGAGGGUGAUCGGCCACACUGGAACUGAGACACGGUCCAGACUCCUACGGGAGGCAGCAGUAGGGAAUCUUCCGCAAUGGGCGAAAGCCUGACGGAGCAACGCCGCGUGAGUGAUGAAGGGUUUCGGCUCGUAAAACUCUGUUAUUAGGGAAGAACAAACGUGUAAGUAACUGUGCACGUCUUGACGGUACCUAAUCAGAAAGCCACGGCUAACUACGUG